rnacentral:tRNA from 1 species
GCCUGUGUGGUGUAGUGGUCAGCACACUCGGCGCGUAUUCGAGAGGUCCGAGGUUCGAGUCCCGGCGAGGGCA